UGCAAGUCGAACGGUGAAGGUGGAGCUUGCUCUGCUGGAUCAGUGGCGAACGGGUGAGUAACACGUGAGCAAUCUGCCCCUGACUCUGGGAUAAGCGCUGGAAACGGCGUCUAAUACCGGAUAUGAACUGCGAAGGCAUCUUCAGUAGUUGGAAAGAAUUUCGGUCAGGGAUGAGCUCGCGGCCUAUCAGCUUGUUGGUGAGGUAAUGGCUCACCAAGGCGUCGACGGGUAGCCGGCCUGAGAGGGUGACCGGCCACACUGGGACUGAGACACGGCCCAGACUCCUACGGGAGGCAGCAGUGGGGAAUAUUGCACAAUGGGCGCAAGCCUGAUGCAGCAACGCCGCGUGAGGGAUGACGGCCUUCGGGUUGUAAACCUCUUUUAGCAAGGAAGAAGCGAAAGUGACGGUACUUGCAGAAAAAGCGCCGGCUAACUACGUGCCAGCAGCCGCGGUAAUACGUAGGGCGCAAGCGUUAUCCGGAAUUAUUGGGCGUAAAGAGCUCGUAGGCGGUUUGUCGCGUCUGCUGUGAAAACUGGAGGCUCAACCUCCAGCCUGCAGUGGGUACGGGCAGACUAGAGUGCGGUAGGGGAGAUUGGAAUUCCUGGUGUAGCGGUGGAAUGCGCAGAUAUCAGGAGGAACACCGAUGGCGAAGGCAGAUCUCUGGGCCGUAACUGACGCUGAGGAGCGAAAGGGUGGGGAGCAAACAGGCUUAGAUACCCUGGUAGUCCACCCCGUAAACGUUGGGAACUAGUUGUGGGGUCCAUUCCACGGAUUCCGUGACGCAGCUAACGCAUUAAGUUCCCCGCCUGGGGAGUACGGCCGCAAGGCUAAAACUCAAAGGAAUUGACGGGGACCCGCACAAGCGGCGGAGCAUGCGGAUUAAUUCGAUGCAACGCGAAGAACCUUACCAAGGCUUGACAUAUACGAGAACG
rnacentral:rRNA from 2 species